rnacentral:antisense_RNA from 1 species
UCUAUGGUGGGCUGGGCGGGGCUGACUUCGGUCAGGCCGGUAUCCUGUAACGCCGGUAUUCCUACCCCCGUCCAGCUCACCACCCA